UGCCUGGUCGUCUAAUGGUAGGACAGCGGACUUUGGAUCCGUCAAUCGGGGUUCGAAUCCCUGCCGGGCAG
rnacentral:tRNA from 1 species